UACGAAGGGGGCUAGCGUUGCUCGGAAUGACUGGGCGUAAAGGGCGCGCAGGCGGCUCUGAAAGUCAGAUGUGAAAGCCCCGGGCUUAACCUGGGAAUUGCAUUUGAUACUCUGGAGCUUGAGUGUGGGAGAGGAGAGUGGAAUUCCCAGUGUAGAGGUGAAAUUCGUAGAUAUUGGGAAGAACACCGGUGGCGAAGGCGGCUCUCUGGACCACAACUGACGCUGAGGCGCGAAAGCGUGGGGAGCAAACAGG
rnacentral:rRNA from 1 species